UACGUAGGGUGCAAGCGUUAAUCGGAAUUACUGGGCGUAAAGCGUGCGCAGGCGGUUAUGCAAGACAGAUGUGAAAUCCCCGGGCUUAACCUGGGAACCGCAUUUGUGACUGCAUAGCUGGAGUACGGCAGAGGGGGAUGGAAUUCCGCGUGUAGCAGUGAAAUGCGUAGAUAUCAGGAGGAACACCCGUGGCGAAGGCGGCUUCCUGGGGCCAUCCUGACACUGAGAAGCGAAAGCUAGGGGAGCGAACGGG
rnacentral:rRNA from 1 species